rnacentral:lncRNA from 1 species
CAACACAGAACAAAACCAUGACCAAAGGGAUGAAAGACAAAUCACAAAAUGCUAGGCUGCAACCAAUCAAAAACAGAGAUUUGCGGAGAAGUGAACACUCCCAGGAGUUAACAAAUCAUGGUAUGCUCACCUGGUGCUCACAAGAAAUACUAAAGACAAGACAGGAGACUGGAGACAGACUCCCUCUGUGGUACACACAGUCAAAGAAGAGAAAAUCAGCUACCACCAUUGGCAGGCAUGAAGCCCUGCUCCUCUGCUUGGAACCUUCUCUCAAAAGGCUUAAAUUAAGUCUCUGGGGUACAGACAAUAAAACCUGCUACCUCCAGCAGGACAGAACCAUUCUUUCCUAAAAGAAUAGAAGAAAACACCUCUAUUUCCAGGAGAGGAGCAAAAAAAAAAUAGUCCUGAGCCCUGGAUCCUACACCAGUACUAUUAAAGGUCUCCUACCACUGAAGUAGGGAAAGAAAAUCUGCACAAGACCUGCCAUAGAUACAGGUGGAGAAUUGGGUGCCUGCUACGAGGAGGAGGAAGCUGCACCCAGAGAGGCACAGGCAUGAGGCUGGACCAGAACAAUAAAGACUAGGCCAGAACAGGCCUUUUGCCCUGCUCCCCACCAGUCUAGUGAAUACUGAGUACAAACCACCACAGUCUACCAGUAGGAGGAUGCAAGGACCAUGGCCCCCUCUCACGUGUAGGCAAAGGACAGGUCAAAGCUGAGGGUUGAAAGCAAACACUGAGAUAAACUGUGAGGCACCCAGAUCGUCACCCUAAGCACAAGACAUUAUUAAAGAAAUUUAAAGACAGUAGCAUACUGAAGAUAGUCAUAGCAACUGUAAAACCCAAACCCAGUUUCUCACAUUAACUCCUAUAGGAGUUAAGCUAGGAAAUGUGAAAGGAAAAUAAAAUCUUGGGACCCCAAUUCACUGUGCCAAAAGCAGAAAAUUAAGCUGAAUGCUGAGUCAUAUAAGAAAUUGCCUUUCUUUUUGUUCCUUAACAGUUAAAGAUAAAAAGUCAGACAUCUCCACAGGUAGCUACUCUAUGUUCGUCUUAUGUAAACUGCAGAUUCCCCUACCUGCUCCUUUUCUCUUGCAACAUAUGGAUUCAGUAACGUAACCAUACCCUCCCUCUUUGCUUUCCAGCCUGCUUUUUUCCUUUAAAUAUUGAAGCCCUCAACAUCAUCUUUGGAAAAAAGCGUGGACCACAGAUUCAUUCCUAUUGUUUUGUGUUCCCUUUUCUCCAGGCAUGUUCUUAACCUUGGCAAAAAAAAAACUUCUAAAUUGAUUGAAACCUGUCUCAGAUACUUUUUGGUUUAUAAAACCAAUAACAAAUAUAUAUAUGGAAGACCCCUGAAUAUGUAGAAAUCAAACAACAAAUUUCUAAGUAAUCCAUGGGUCAAAAAGGAAGUUACAAGGGAACCUAGAGAGUGCUUAGUAUUGAAAGAAAUGAAAACACAACAUAUCAAAACUUGUGAGAUGCUGCUGAAGCAGUGGAGCUAAGAAAGAUGAAAGGUUGGCCGAUUGCCGUGGCUCACGCCUGUAAUCCCAGCACUUUGGGAGACAGAGGCAGGUGUAUCACCUGAGGUCAGGAGCUCGAGACCAGUCUGGCCAACAUGGCAAAACCCUGUCUCUACUAAAAAUACAAAAAUUAGCCAGGCAUGGUGGCAUAUGCCUGUAGUCUCAGCUACACAGGAGGCUGAGGUGGGAGAAUCACUUGAACCCAGGAGGCGGAGGUUGCAGUGAGCCGAGAUCGCACCACUGCACACCACUGCACUCCAGAGUGAGAUGCCCUCUCAAAAAAAAAAAAAAAGUAAAGAAAGAUGAAAGGUCACAAUAAAUAUCUAAGCAUCCACAAUAAGAACACUUUUAAAAAGAGCAAAUUAAACCUAGAGCAAAAAAGGGAGGAAAUAACAAAAAUAAGUGGCUGCCAAUGAAAUUAAGAAUGAAAAAACUAUACAGAAAAUCAAUGAAACCAAAUUUGGUUUCUCAAAAUUUAUGAACCUCUGGCCAAGCUGACCAAGUUAAAAAAACAGAAGACAUAUAACAAAAAUCAUGAAUGAAAGAGGACAAAUCACUACAGACCGCACAAACACUAAAAUAAGAAAUAUUGCAAAAAAAAAAUUGUAUGCCCGUAAACUUAACAAGCUAGAUGAAAUGGAAAAAAUCCUUGAAAGACACCAGCUGCUGGAGUUCACUUAAAAAAAAUUAAAUAGCCUGUUUAAUCCUAUACCUGCUAAAGAUUUUGAAUUCAUACAUAAAAAUUCUCAAAGAAAACUCCAGGCCUAGAUACUUUCAUUGGCAAAUGUUGUCAAACAUUUAAGGAUUAAUGUUAGCAAUUAUUUUUAAAAGUUCUUUCAGAAUACAGAAGAGGAGGAAACACUUAUCAACUCAUUUUAUGAGACCAGCAUUACCCCCAAUAAUACCAUCAGAAAAGAUAUUACCAAAAAAAGACAAAACGGCAGAUGGCUAUCUCUCAUGAGCAUAGACAAAAAGAUUCUCACCAAAAUCCUAGCAAAUCAAAUCUAGCAAUAUUAUAUUUUGAAUAAACAAACUUCAUGAACAAGUGGGGUUUAUCUAAGUAUUGCCAGACUGAUUCAAUAUUCAAAAAAAUCAAAUUGGUCAAUAUAAUUAAUCAUUUAACUGACUAAAAUGAUCAUAUUAUCAUCUCAGUUGUUAUAGGUAAAAAAGCACCUGACGAAACCCAACAUCUUUUUCUAAUUGGAAAAAAAAAAAAAAAAGCCCCCUCAGCAAACUAAGAACAAAAGGUAACUUUCUUAACAUGGUAACAGGCAUCUACAAAAAUACCUGCUUCAACGUACUCAAUAGGGAAAGACAAUAGUGUCUCCCUAACAUCAGGAACAAGACAAGGAUAUCUGUCCUCACCAAUUAUAUUCAACAUUACCAACCUAAAAUAAUCCAAAUGCUAGGGGUCCAGUUAAAAGAGCUUAUUCAACCACAAAGCAUGAGGGUGGCCAUCUGGGGAGCAGAGCUACACUGAUGAAUGGUAAGCAGUGCUCCCAAUGUGGAGAAAAAUGGGGGUCAUUUACAUAGGCAAAAACAGGUGCUAAACAGAAUUACAUUUUCCAUACAAAAGCUAACACACAGAGCACAGAGGUCUCUAUCUCCAACGUUAUUUAGCUAGGUUUAAAUAAAGAAUAGAGAGUCUGGUUAAUGUAUAACAUCUCAACACAAAGGUCAGAAAGUAACCAUCAUGGACCAAAGAAGAAAAACUGUUAUGUGAGUCGGCUUUCAGGGCUUAACUUUUCUCUUGGCAUAAAUUUGGAAGGUCCUGAAAUUUUAUUUUAGUUUUAUAAUAUUAUACUUGAGGAACUAGACAAUGCAAAUAAGACAAGAAAAAGAAAUAAAAGGCCAACAAAUUGGAAAGGAGGAAAUAAAACUAUUUCUAUUCACCAGCUACAUGAUUAUCUACAGACAAAAUCCCAAAGAAUCCCCAAAAACCAUGAAAAUUACUAAGUGUGUUUAGAAAAGUUACAGGACAUAAGGCCAGUAUACAAAAUAUAAACUGUAUAUAUGUCUACAUAUUUCAAAUGUGUAAUAUAUGCAUAUUUCUCCUGUUGUGCUUUGUUUAUUCUGAUUUGUUUUCUUUUAACGAAUCUUCCCACAUAAAGAUUUAAUCCCACUUUCCCAGCCUUCCAAUGUUUUUAUCUUAAAGAAUAAUUAACAUUAAACUUUUUUUAAGUGCCGUUUACAACAGCAACAAAAACAAAAAAUACUUAGGCAUAAACCUAAUAAAAUAUGAAUAUGGCACGUAUGCUGAAAACUAAAAAACACUGAUAAAUUAGUGAUCUAAAUGAAUACAGAGAUAUGCUGGUUUGUGGUUUGGAAGACUCAAUCUUGUGAAAAUGUCAAUUCUCACUAAACUCAUCCAUAGAGUCAAUACAAUUCCAGUCAAAUCACAGCAGGAGUUCUUUACAAAAAUUGACAAGCUGACUUUUAAAAGUGUAUGGGAAGACAAAUAGAUAAAGGAAAGACCUACAUAUACUGUCAAUGAAUGGUACUUGAACAAUUGAAUAUCUGUAUGAAAAAAGAACCUGACACUCAAAAUGAGUAUAGACUUAAAUGUAAAACCUAAAAUAAUAAAGCAAUAGGAGAAAAAAUUUUGGACAUUGGACAAAAAUUUCUCAGAUGCAACACCAAAAGUAUGAUUCAUAAAGAAAAAUGAUAAAUUGGACUUCAUCCGAAUUAAAAAUAUCUGCUCUACAAAAUAAACCAUUAAGAGAGUGAAAAUAAUAGGAACAGAAAACAGACCAGUGCUUGCCAGGGGCUGAGAGCAGGAAGGGGGACUGACUAUAAGGGGCCUAAGGGAACUCUUGAGGUGUUGAAAAUGUUCUACAUCUUGAUUAUGGUGGUAGAUCCAUGGCUGUAUGCACUUUUCAAACUUCACAGAACUCUAUAUCUAAAAAGAGUAAAUUUACUGUAUGUAAAUUAUACCUCUGUAUAUGACAUACAUUAUGACAUACUGCAUAUGUUCAUAUAUAUGAAUAUGUAUUUACUGUCUGUAAAUUAUACCUCAAUAAAUGUGAC